GACGAACGCUGGCGGCGUGCUUAACACAUGCAAGUCGAACGGAAAGGCCCUGCUUUUGUGGGGUGCUCGAGUGGCGAACGGGUGAGUAACACGUGAGUAACCUGCCCUUGACUUUGGGAUAACUUCAGGAAACUGGGGCUAAUACCGGAUAGGAGCUCCUGCUGCAUGGUGGGGGUUGGAAAGUUUCGGCGGUUGGGGAUGGACUCGCGGCUUAUCAGCUUGUUGGUGGGGUAGUGGCUUACCAAGGCUUUGACGGGUAGCCGGCCUGAGAGGAUGACCGGCCACAUUGGGACUGAGAUGAGGCCCAGACUCCUACGGGAGGCAGCAGUGGGGAAUAUUGCACAAUGGGCUGAAGCCUGAUGCAGCAACGCCGCGUGCGGGGUGACGGCCUUCGGGUUGUAAACCGCUUUCGCCUGUGACGAAGCGUGAGUGACGGUAAUGGGUAAAGAAGCACCGGCUAACUACGUG
rnacentral:rRNA from 1 species